AUAGCGCUGCCGCCGGGCAGCAAAAUGCAAUGCAUUUGCCAAUACAUCGUUAGGCCUUUGAAGAUGUAUCGGUAAAUGCAUUUUCUAU
rnacentral:ncRNA from 1 species